UUUAAUUGAAGAGUUUGAUCAUGGCUCAGAUUGAACGCUGGCGGCAGGCCUAACACAUGCAAGUCGAGCGGCAGCGGGAGGAAGCUUGCUUCCUCGCCGGCGAGCGGCGGACGGGUGAGUAAUGUCUGGGAAACUGCCCGAUGGAGGGGGAUAACUACUGGAAACGGUAGCUAAUACCGCAUAACGUCGCAAGACCAAAGUGGGGGACCUUAGGGCCUCACACCAUCGGAUGUGCCCAGAUGGGAUUAGCUAGUAGGUGGGGUAAUGGCUCACCUAGGCGACGAUCCCUAGCUGGUCUGAGAGGAUGACCAGCCACACUGGAACUGAG
rnacentral:rRNA from 1 species